GGUGGCUCAGUGGUAGAGUGCUUGCCUUGCAUGCAUGAGGCCCUGGGUGAGAUUCCUCAGCACCA
rnacentral:tRNA from 1 species